CCAUGCAAGUCGAGCGGGGUUUACGGAGCAGCUUGCUGCACUGUAAACCUAGCGGCGGACGGGUGAGUAACGCGUGGGCAACCUGCCUUACACAGGGGGAUAACACUGGGAAACUAGUGCUAAUACCGCAUAACAUCAUUUUAUGGCAUCAUGAGAUGAUCAAAGGAGCAAUCCGGUGUAAGAUGGGCCCGCGUCCGAUUAGCUAGUUGGUGAGGUAACGGCUCACCAAGGCAGCGAUCGGUAGCCGAACUGAGAGGUUGGUCGGCCACAUUGGGACUGAGACACGGCCCAGACUCCUACGGGAGGCAGCAGUGGGGAAUAUUGCGCAAUGGGGGGAACCCUGACGCAGCAACGCCGCGUGAGUGAUGACGGCCUUCGGGUUGUAAAGCUCUGUCUUCAGGGACGAUAAUGACGGUACCUAAGGAGGAAGCCACGGCUAACUACGUGCCAGCAGCCGCGGUAAUACGUAGGUGGCAAGCGUUGUCCGGAAUUACUGGGUGUAAAGGGCGUGUAGGCGGGAAGGCAAGUCAGAUGUGAAAGCCCAUGGCUUAACUGUGGAAUUGCAUCUGAAACUGUUUUUCUUGAGUGCUGGAGAGGAAAGUGGAAUUCCUAGUGUAGCGGUGAAAUGCGUAGAGAUUAGGAGGAACACCAGUGGCGAAGGCGGCUUUCUGGACAGUAACUGACGCUGAGGCGCGAAAGCGUGGGGAGCAAACAGGAUUAGAUACCCU
rnacentral:rRNA from 1 species